rnacentral:lncRNA from 1 species
GGAGAAAUAGUUUUUGAUAACAAUUUUAUCAUCUUGAGAAGGUCGAGAUAUACUUUUUUUUAUCAACAUUUAUCAUUGGAUCUUCUUAGUCAGGUUUGGAAGUAAGGUAAUGAUAUUCUCCGUCCUAAUUAACAUAAGAUGGAGUGAAUUGGGUUAUACUUAUUUUCGCCUAAGUGAUGACUGGGUUACUUUACUUUGUGAAGUGCAGUAAAGUAAAAAAGACAAUUCUUUUUACGUGGAAAAACACCCGGCUCACAAGGUGAAAAAAACCACGACCUACACCUCUGUAGGAUUUUCCCCCAAAUUCACUAAAAUAAGUGAGCCUCAAUAAUAGUUAAAUUACAAGAGUUGUAACCUAGGAACUAACUAUAUGCAACAACCUUAACAGAUUGUUGCUUCCCUCUUCAAGUUAUAAUACCCUUAACUUGAAGCUAAGUUUUCCUAUUUUGUUUAUCCCUAGCUACGCAGUUGCUUUUAAAAAGCUGAAAUAGUACAACUCGAUCAUCACCUAAUACAAGAAUUCUAGACCCAAAAACCAUCAAGUAUGAAACAAGUUCUUCAAUCAACAAGUCAGAACUUCUUCUCAAAUAUACUCUUGCUUAUUUGCUUGAGUUCAGCCUUUAGCUCUCAGUAUAUAUCGAAACGUACGAUAUGCGCUUUUAUACUCGUACGUGAAAGUUCGGUUGAUCACAAAUACCAUGUAAGAUUAAACCCAUCUUGUAGUAAUGUUUAGAUGAGGACAACUUCUCCUGUCUAUCAUCAAAACUUCAUUAGAUCUGAUAAAUAUAAAUUGUGUUAAAUAGAUAUCAUGUGUAUGAAUUAAAAGUAUAUUUAUUAUUAAGAAAAAUAGACUUGAAGAGAAUGAUAGUUUAAUAGAUUUUUGAAAAACAUAAUAAUAUAUAGUUGAAUUAAAGUAAAUUUAGUAGGCAAAUUGUAAAAUGUUGAUAAGUUGGAUGACUUUUCGAGGGAACUAACUUCACUCAUUUUAUAUUUUUUUUGACGAAAAUAAAUGAUUGCAACCUUAACACUUUAGUACAAAAUACUUAAACAAGAAGAUAGUAUUUGCUACCACUCCGUUCUAGCCACCUAAGAGUAGUCAAAGAAAGAGAAGAAAACAAAAAAAAAAAAAAAAAAAUGGCCUUGUCACAGAGCCAACUUGAAGAGGCUAUGAGCCCUGCUAGGUUUGAAGCACAUGCAGCUUCUGUUGGAGCUCACAGUAGUGCAGUCACUGAGCCCAUCUUACCAUCAUCAUCCAUCUUAACAAAGGACAAAUCUUUUUCUUCUGCUGCAAGUCCAAUCAACUCCUUGCUUGCUGGCGAAAAAAUUCAAUUUGGUAACCUGCCUUGUCAUUUCAUAUGUAUGUAUCUCAAGUUAUGAUUAUUUCAUACGUAUAAUCUAAUCCCUCCGCUUACCAGGUGCUGUUACAUCCCCAACCGUCCUUCAUACUAGUAGUCGUGUUGUUUCACAUGGGAUUGGAGCUCCAGGGUCUAAUUGAUCUGAAGUACAAAUUUCCCGUAAUAUUUCUCCAGAUGAAAGUGAUUGUACCCUUUUCUUUGAGAAAGAUAAACGUGCAAAUGAUCCAUGUCUAAAUGUACAAGAUUCUGAGGCUGAAGCAGAAGCAGCUGCUUCUGCUGUUGCUGUAGCAGCUAUCAGCAGUGAUGAAAUUGUCGGGAAUGGACUUGGCUCUGCUAUUUCAGAAGCUAAAACUUUUGAAGGUACAGAAUUUGCAAUGCCCAAAUGUGCUUUGUUUAUCAUCUGAUGGUUCUGACAGUUGCCUGUAUUAAUCAGUCUGUGUUAUGGCAGGUGAUCAGCAAUUGAGCAGCCAAUCACGGGCAGAAGAGUCUCUUAGUGUAUCUCUUCCUGCUGAUCUCAAUGUUGAGACUCCUCCGAUAUCAUUGUGGCCGCCCCUACCAAGUCCCCAGAAUUCUUCGAGCCAAAUCCUAUCUCAUUUUCCUGGUGGCCCGCCGUCACAUUUUCCUUUCUAUGAGAUGAAUCCCGUGUUGGGCGGUCCUAUUUUUGCCUUCGGUCCACAUAAGGAGUCGGCUGGCUCCCAAUCACAGUCACAGAAAGCUACCGUGUCUAGCUCAGGUCCACUUGGUGCAUGGCAACAAUGCCAUUCUACGCUAGACUCAUUCUACGGUCAUCCAGCAGGGUUCACUGGCCCUUUCAUAAGCCCACCUGGAGGUAUCCCUGGAGUUCAAGGUCCGCCACACAUGGUGGUCUAUAAUCAUUUUGCUCCAGUUGGACAGUAUGGCCAGGUUGGAUUAAGCUUUAUGGGUACCACUUAUUUACCUUCUGGAAAGCAGCCUGAUUGGAAGCACACACCCUCAUCCUCCGCAAUGGGCAUCACUGAGGCGGAUAUGAAUAAUGUAAAUAUGGCUGGUUCUCAGCGAAAUUUAUCGAAUAUGCCUGCUACCGUCCAGCACCUUGGUCCUGCUUCACCAAUUAUGCCCAUAGCUUCUCCUCUGAUGUUUGAUGUGUCUCCUUUCCAGGUAAGGAAUGCCAUACCAUCAUUGAUGUUAACAAAAAAAAGGGCUUGUAGAAUAUUUCACCCCAUCGUAGUGGAGUAUACUUGUCUAUUUUAGUUGCUCACUUCUUUUUGAUUUUGAAAUAUUCAUAAUUGUCUUCAUUUCUUUCAUCUUGUGUAGAACUUAUUGAUUAAUUUCUAAGAAUAUAGACUCUGUAAUGCCUUAGAUUUUUGUUAUAUGAUCUAUUAGUGCAAGCAGUUCUCUCAUAUAACAUUUUACUUUGCUUUUGGUUUCAACUCAGUCUUCACCUGAAAUGCCAGUCCAAGCUCGCUGGUCUCAUGUCCCUGCAUCGCCUCUUCAUUCUGUUCCCAUUUCUCACCCCUUGCAACAGCAAGCUGAAGGUGUAUUGCCUCCUAAAUUUGGGCACGGUCAUUCGAUUGAUAAGUCAUUGAAUACCAAUAGGUUUUUGGAAUCUCAUCCUCCAGAAUCCUCUGAUGGUACCCCCAGUUUUACCGUUGCGACAGUUGCCAAUGCAGCUCAGUUUCCUGUUGAAAUUGGUCUUGGAGAUUCCUCCAAGUCGGGGGCUACUGUUGGUUCUGCUCAGAGUCUGGCCAGUCAAAGCUCCUCUGGAUGUGCUAAUGCAGAUGCUGGCAAAAUUGAUGCUCUCAGAAAUGGCAUCAGCAACAGUGGUAAAGAUCAAGGUGUCAGUGGUUUCAAAACGCACACCCAGCAGAAGAAUACCUCUGCAGGCUACAACUAUCACAGGGGUGGUGGAAUGUCUCAGAGAAAUAUGGCUGGAAAUGAUUGGUCCCAUCGCAGAAUGGGUUUCCAUGGCAGAAAUCAGUCCUUGGGUGCGGUUCCAUCUACUAAGGUGAAACAAAUAUACGUGGCUAAGCAAACCCUUGGUGGGACAAAAACCACGGGAGGAGAAAACCACAUGGUUGUUUAGAGAUCUUGAUAGGUAAGGAAGGAUCUGUUAUGAGUAUUAUGUCAGUGGGACAAUCAAGCUAGUUUUGGUACCUUCUUGCAUUUAUGGCCUCUGAAAAUAACUUAAUUUGGACUUUAGAUAAUUGGUUGGUGAUUAUAGUGAUCCUCUCAAUUUUGUCCGGAAUAUGGAUUUACUAAGUUGUGGUUUGGCUGCUGAGAUUUGAAAUUAAACCUUGUGCCCGGCUGUUAUCUGCAAAAUUUUCGUCAACUGCUUAUUGCUUUGGCUUCUAUUCUUUGAUUUAGUCCCUUCUUGGUAUUUGUUAACUACCAGAACUAAAGGAACAAGCUAUUUGUUAGCAUUAGUAGAAUGCUCUUGUUGUGCUUUCCAACAGCUUGUGUUAGCUAGCCUGGAAAAUGAAUGUUUGGAAUUUUACUCAGUCAUCGUCACUGUAUAAUGAUAACUAAGUGGUUGGAUGCCUGCUCGACUAGCUCAACAGUACUUGAGCGUACAAGUGAUUCAUGCAGGGACUAGGAGUUCUCUUAGUACUGUUUUGUUGCUGCAGUUUCUUUUGAUAAUUUUUUUGUCUUGAAGUUGCUCUAUUAGGGGACAGUUUCACUAUAUAACUCUGGCAAGUGUUGUUAAAUGAAAAAUGAUUUUUCUGCAUUUAAGAGCACGCCAAUGGUUAUCCAGAUAUAUGAGUUUUCAAGGCCUGUAAGUAAUGCAAUCUGAGAUUGCGCAUCUCAGGUUUCUGGUAUGGCGAGUCUAUUGCUCAUGUCUCAAUUGUUCCAAAAAGAAAGUUAUGUUUUUUGUAAUUAUAAAUAAUUUAACUUAAGAAAUUCUCUUUGUAUCCAAAUAAAAUGAUUUAUAGUAAUGCAAAUGGUCAAGGAGUAUUUUUUAUGUCACAAAUAUCACCAAUCUCCUUUUUUAAAAAACGUGUGUCAACUCAAACAAUGUCACCUGCUAGUUUUGAGUUAUACUUAAACUAACUCGGAUUGAAAUUUGAAACAGACAUAAGCUAGUUUGGUUACUUCCAUUACAUUUUUUUUUAAUUUAUAAAACAGCAUGUCAGCUGAAACACAACCAAUUCAACUGCUAAUUAAUAAUGGAUUAAGUAGCAACCAAACACUCAUUAUUUCUUGUACCAUAAGACGAUCGCCAACCUUAACACUGGUUUUUGUGUUUUGAACUAGCACAUUUAGCAAAUUGGGUUUUUGAUAACAAUUUUAUUAUCUUAAGAAGGUGGAGAUAUACUUUUUUUUAUCAACAUUUAUCAUUGGAUCUUCUUAGUGAGGUUUGGAGGUAAGGUAAUGAUAUUCUGCGUCCUAAUUAACAUAAGAUGGAAUGAAUCGGGUUAUACUUAUUUUCGCCUAAGUGAUGACUGGGUUACUUUACUUUGUGAAGUGCAGUAAAGUAAAAAAGACAAUUCUUUUUACGUGGAAAAACACCCGGCUCACAAGGGUGAAAAAAACCACGACCUACACCUCUGUAGGAUUUUCCCCCAAAUUCACUAAAAUAAGUGAGCCUCAAUAAUAUUUAAAUUAUAAGAGUUGCAACCUAGGAACUAACUAUAUGCAACAACCUUAACAGAUUGUUGCUUCCCUCUUCAAGUUAUAAUACCCUUAACUUGAAGCUAAGUUUUCCUAUUUUGUUUAUCCCUAGCUACGCAGUUGCUUUUAAAAAGCUGAAAUAGUACAACUCGAUCAUCACCUAAUACAAGAAUUCUAGACCCAAAAACCAUCAAGUAUGAAACAAGUUCUUCAAUCAACAAGUCAGAACUUCUUCUCAAAUAUACUCUUGCUUAUUUGCUUGAGUUCAGCCUUUAGCUCUCAGUAUAUAUCGAAACGUACGAUUUGCGCUUUUAUACUCGUACGUGAAAGUUCGGUUGAUCACAAAUACCAUGUAAGAUUAAACCCAUCUUGUAGUAAUGUUUAGAUGAGGACAACUUCUCCUGUCUAUCAUCAAAACUUCAUUAGAUCUGAUAAAUAUAAAUUGUGUUAAAUAGAUAUCAUGUGUAUGAAUUAAAAGUAUAUUUAUUAUUAAGAAAAAUAGACUU